AUGGCUGGGUACUGGUCUUAUCGAAAACUGGCAAAGGCGGCAGAGACAGAGUCAGCUCAGCUCCCAAACUGUAGGCCAUAACCAUUGUAUUUUGAGCAUUCUGUGGGUAACAAUAGUGGGAAUGUCAUUGGCCAAAUUUUCAAGAUAGCUAGGUGAGGUUUAUCACUUUAUCAAAAUAAGAACAGUGAUACCGAAUUGUCUUCCUUUUUUCUUUGGUGGACCCCACCUCAUGAUGCAAUGUGACAGUGCUGCUAGCCAUUUCAUUUUUGACCCAUGGAUCGGAAAAAUCAUGAGAUCUACACGGUAGAUAAAUAAUGUGGUAUAUUAUUACAUUAAAAAAAUUUCACUUAUUUAAAAUUAUUAGUUAAAAAAAUUUUUUAAAUAGAAAUUAAUUACUGACUCAGCAAUUUUAAACAAAUAGAAGUUUUUUAGUAGAAUAGUAAAACACAUUAUUUAUCCACCAAAAGACACUAUAAUUUCUACAUCCCUUGCUUCCAUUCUAUCAACUUUUUAAUUGAAUGUAAAUUUUGAUAAAUUUAUUGUAUAUAUUUUUUAUUCUUACAAAAUUUCAAGAUAAUUAUAGAUUAAUAAUUAUAUUAUUAAUUAAUUGUUCAAAUUCAAGUUUUUGUAAUUUAAAACAAUGCAUUAAAGAUGAAUUUAUGAUAGAAUGGCAAAGAAUAUCCAACUAACAUGAAAAUUUGUAUGCAGGUUAAGAAAAUAUAAAACAUGUGAUCAAAUUAUGAAAUUUUCAAAAUAUAAAUUCAAUAAAAAGUUAUUGAGUUGUUUAAUAUUAAUUAGAGACUUAGAGUUAUAUAUAUAUAUAUAUAUAUUGUAGGGGCGGACUUUAACUCUUAGGUUCAAAAGGUGAAUGGACUAAGGCCCAAAGAGCCCAAUACAAUAAAUUUGUAGAGAGUAGGAUGAAAAGCUAGGUCUCAACGAAGUGGACAAUGCCUUUAAUGGGAGAAGAAUGGUAAGAAAGCAAAGAAAAACAAUAAAUAGACAAAUGUGAUGCACAUAAAUUCUUCAUCGGCAAUGUUCGAGGAGAGUGGUUUUUGAAUAUAUUUCCCUUAACUUUGAUUACAGUUUUUUUUCUUAAUACUACAGUGUUUUCUUUACAGAUUUUGUGUCCCCUGCCCUUCGGAAGGUCUCUACUGUUAUAUAGCUCCUUUUAGGCAAUCCUAGCCUUCCAUUUGUUGAUCGUUCAGUACACCACUUGAGUACUUGUCCCAUCAGACACCUUCCCAAGUCCCUUGUAAGUUGCGGCGGUCAAGGCAGCACUAUUUAGGGGUCUUCUAUACAUAAAUGCAAUUAGGAGAUUUGGUGGGAUGCAUUAAAUGUGGAGGCAGCCACCACCCCUUUAGUCAUGUUAGGGCUAACCCCACUCAGAAACUUUUUCUCAGUAGUAGGACCUCCUCUGGCAAUGUGCCAUUGAUAUGGCCUUACUGUAUGAGCAUGUGGCCUCCUCGGCUUGGCAAUGGACUCCUCAGCCAUGGAUAUUACAUGUGGUGCAGGUGCCUUAUUUAAAUUCUUGUACCCCAUAAUAGCCCCUCAAAAAAUUUUUUUUUCUAAGGAGAAAAAUGGAGUUUUGACUUUGGGAUAUUAACUCCACACAUUUCUCUGAUUUCCACAUGUGAAGGCAUCACUUCGUGUGUCCCGUAACCAUUCUAGCGCUUCAGAGUCCGCAAUGUCCCAUUAAAUGCUCCAAGGGACGCUUUGUUCCCUACAUCCUACGGUAAGAUGGAGAUCCUAUGGCUGUCGCCUCUCCUCAAAAUUUGGGUGGGAUAACUCCCACCCAAUUUUUCCUCCUAUAUUAGGUGCUUGGAGGAAUCAUUUCCCUACUUUACGAAUUUCAAGCUCUCCAGACUUACAAACUCGCAAACUUUCAAGACUUUUCUAAAUUUCUUAGUCUUCUAGAUUUUUCAAAAAAUCCCUUAAACCCUUAAGAAGUUCAAGAAGCAACCUUCGUGUUCAUUCUCGCAAGUUUUUUUCUCUUUUAGGUUCUUUUCUCCUUGGCCUUCUGUUUUUUGUUUUCUUUCCUUGAAAAUUUCUUUCACAUCACCCUAGUCUGCUUAGAUGGAUAGGUUCGCUCACCUUGUAGACUCCCCCGCCGGUAUGGAGGGGUUUAGGGCUAAGUAUCAUAUUCCCCAGGGAGUUCCCCUGCAUUGCUUACCCAUAGGAGCAAAGGGGAGCUUGUCAUUCCUAUGAUUGCCUUCAUAGAAGGGGGAAUGACGCUUCCUAUGGGUAGGGUGACCAGAGAUUACCUAAUCACCCAUAGGCUGUGCCUCCACUAGUGUGCGCCUAACCUCUUUAGGAUUUUGGGUAGUGUAGAUACUUUCAACAAGCAAAUGGAGCUAAACCUCACCUGGCACGACAUCGUUUGGAUAUACGAGUGCCACUAGCUCGCGGACUUAGGGUAUUACUGUAAGUCUAGAUCCUUUGUCGUUAGGCUUGUCUCAUGCCUCCCCAAAUCCAACAAGGGCAUGAAAGAUGACUUUUUGUUAGUUUCAGAGGAAUGACACAAUGGUCUUUAUUGCCUAGUUUGGAAAGGAGAGCUAGGUGGGGUACCCUAGGUUUAGGUUUUAUUUUUUAUUUUUAUAAUUUUUAAAUAGGGGUAUUAGCUUUGCGAUUUCCUUGCUUUCAUCUCUCUUUUAGUAUUCUGUUUGCUUCUGAUGCAUGGCUUAGUUAUCAUGAUCGUGGUUUUGCUUCUUGGAUUUUUUGCAAAUAAAAGACAUAUAGCUCCCAAACUCAAUCUUGUCAACGUCGCGGGCCUUAACAGGCAUCUGAGGUUGAAAGUGUUUAUGAGCGAAAACAGGCAACUGCAAACUGUCCACCUUAUUCUCGACUUCGAGGCCCUGUCAGACAAUUUCCAAGAUGUGGGCCACGCGAUAAGAGCAGGAGAUCCUUGGCUAACCCGAAUUGAUGUCUCUGUGCUUGGUUUUCUAGCCCGAGAAGAUCUCCUGCCAGUUGAGCUACCCUUCACCGAUCCCCCGGUGAGGUAGCGGCUCCAAAGGAAGAAAUAACCUCUUCACGUUUGUCCCUUGAGACUGAGAUAGACCAAUUUCUCCUCAAGGAAGAAUGAGAGGCGCGAGAAGAGCCUAUGGAGAUCUCAAACUUAGAGGGCAUGCUUGACAGGUCCUUUACUGUUCAUUCCCCCAAACUUAUAAUUGCUCGGGUGGAUAGCAGCUUCGAGAAGGAAGAAGAGAUGGCCUUCAACCCGAGGAUAGGCUUGAAAGAGCUCUUCGCGGGGAGGAAUAAGGGGUUAUCAUCUAAGGAUGCCCCAAAGUCCCAGCCCUUUCCUACUUUUCCCCCUCCCCCUCCUCCUACAUUCAACCUGCUCCCCAUGCCUAACUUGAAGAAAAAAAAAAGGAGAAGAAGGGAGCUAAAGAGAGGGAGGUGGUCCUUUAGAAGCAGCCCAAGUAGUAGAGGAUAGCCAGAGACAGAGGGCGGGCCUCCUCAAAGGAGAGUAAGGAGGCUGAGCACUUGGCCGAUGUGCGCUAUCCAGCGUAGAACCCCCGGUUGGAGUUGGAUGGCGCAACAGUACCCUAGAGCUCCUCCAUCAGGGAGUUCUAGAAGGGUCAUGCCACCUAUGUGGCUAAGGCUCUAGAGUGGCCUCUCUUGUUGCUCAAGGAUAUGGACGCUCUGAAGAACAUGAGGUAGUAGGAUCUUUUCAUGUCCUUGAAGAGGGACUUAGCUUUGGUGAGUUUUUCAACUUGAUCCCCUUGACCUUGUACCAAUCUUCUUGUUUACUUAUCUCAUUGAGUGUUUUUGUUGCCUUUACGCUGGCCAUCCAGGAGGUUUUCAUUGCUAAGGAGUGGGUGAAGGAUGCUCGCAACGAGGCGAGGCUCGCAAAUAACCUUCAUGUGGAAGUUAGUAAGUCCCUUGCCAUUGCCAAGGGGAGGAACAAGGAGUUGGCUUUGAAGUUGGCCACUGCAGACAAGGACCGGAGAAGAGCGAAGGUUGUCCUUGGGAGUGCUGAGGUGCAAGUAAAGGAGUAGCACUAAUGGCUUCAUUACACCCAGAUAGAGCUGGCCACAGCCAAGCAGCAAAUGUUGAAGCUAAAGACGGAGCUUUUUAAGGCCAAAGAGGCUUCUCAGGUGGCCCAAGUAACUGCUGACACUGUAGGGCAGAAGUUUUAUGACCUGGGAGUGCAAGAAACUAAGGCCUGGCUAAUUUAGGAAUUGGUUAGGGUUUGUAGGGAGUAUUGCCUCGAGGUAUGGACUGAAGCCCUGAACGUGAUUGGAGCUCCUGUGGACCUAAAGUGGAGGAAAGCCAAGAACCUCUUCUACCCUGAGGACCUCCUAGACGCCCUUGAGGCAGCCCCUGAGGAAGCCACCCUUACUCCAACUGUGGUUAAGUAGCCUUCUCCCUCCUAGACUGUUCCUCCCUUUUCUGAGGCCAUAAAAGAGCCUGGCAAGGCUGGUGACCAAGGCAAGGGGGCGGAGGUAGUCAAAAGUAAGGAGACUGACUAGAGCAGGGUUCGGCCAGAGGACAAAGGCAAGGGCAAGGAAGUAGCUUUCAAGGCGAAGGAGUUUGAGAUGGUUAAGUCUCAGGCCGUGGCCCAAGAGAAGAAGGCCACUAAUCCUCCUGUCCUCCCGCUGGUCAGCAAAGAAGACCCUCCUUCGGUAAAGGCUUAG
rnacentral:sRNA from 1 species